UGUGAACAAACAUAGCGUUAGGCACAAGCGUCGCUGCCAGCCUUGAUACAAUCAGUGAAUGUGUUUCUAUUUGAAAUAAUUUUUAAUGCUUUGUUGCCUUCAGACGUAUUUAAUAGUGUGUUUUCAUAAAAACCGCAUAUCGAAGGUUCACAAAAAAGCACCUAGAGAUGAAAUCGGGAUACUUUUGUGAAGCUCAAACAGUGCAGGCUGAGCCCAUUGCGGCAACCAUUGCAGCCUUGUAAUGCCGUGUGACGCUGAUACAACUCCAUCUCAGUCGAACUAGUUAGCAGAGCGUUCCGUUGACGGAGUUUAACAGAGUUCAGUGGUGGCCGUGUGACAGGGGUGUGACCAUGGUUGUAACGGGUAAUGGAGAAUCAGGGUUCGAUUCCGGAGAUGGAGCCUGAGAAACGGCUACCAUAUCCAAGGAAGGCAGCAGGCGCGCAAAUUACCCACUCUCGUCUCGGGGAGAUAGUGACGAAAAAUAACAAUACGGGAUAGACUCUUUUUGAGGCCCCGUAAUUGAAGUGAGUACACUCUAAACCCUUUAACGAGGAUCAUUUGGAGGGCAAGUCUGGUGCCAGCAGCCGCGGUAAUUACGGCUCCAAUAGCGUAUACUAAAGCUGCUGCGGUUAAAAAGUUCGUAGUUGGAUCUCAGUUCCAGACGAGUAGUGCAUCUUUCCGAUGCGACAGCCAAGCCUGAACAUCAUACCGGAUCUUUGUUGGUGCACUUCAUUGUGUGCAUCGAGAUGGCCGGUGUUUACUACUUUGAAAAAAAAAAUAUAAUGCUCAACGCAGGCGAGUCGCAUGAAUAAACUUGCAUGGAAUAGUAGAACAAGACCUCAUUUCUGUUCUGUUGGUUUUUGAAAUGCGAGGUAAUGAUUAGGAGGGACGGGUAUGGGCAUUCGUAAUGCGGCGCUAGAAGUGAAAGUCUUGGAGCGUCGCAAGACAAACUACUGCGAAAGUAUUUGCCAAGAAUGUUUUCAUUGAUCAAGAACGAAAGUCUGAGGUUCGAAGGCGAUCAGAUACCACCCUAGUUCUGACCAUAAACGAUGCAAACCAGUGAUCCGCCUGGGUUACUCAAAUGACUCGGCGGGCAGCUUCCGGGAAACCAAAGUAUUUGGGUUCCGGGGGAAGUAUGGUUGCAAAGCUGAAACUUAAAGGAAUGGACGGAAGGGCACCACCAGGAUUGAAGCAUGCGGCUUAAUUUUACUCAACAGGGGGAAAACUUACCCGGCCCAGACACUGGGAGGAGUGAUAGAUUAAGAGCUCUUUCUUGAAUCGGUGGAUGGUGGUGCAUGGCCGUUCUUAGUUGGUGGAGCGAUUUAUCUGGUUAAUUUCCGAGAACGAACGAGACUCUAGAUUUUAAAUAGUUGCGGGGUUUCCAGCACCUUACAGCCUUCUUAGAGGGACAAGAUGCUCCUAGCCGCACGAAACGGAGCAAUAACAGGUCUGUGAUGCCCUUAGAUGUCCGGGGCCGCACGCGCGCUACACUGAAGGAAGCAGCGUGUCUUUAUCCCUGUCUGAAAAGACUGGGUAACCCGUGGAACUUCUUUCGGGAUUGGGAUAGAACUUGCAACUAUUCCCCUUGAACGAGGAAUUCGCAGUAAGUGCUCACGUUGAUUACGUCCCUGCCCUUUGCACACAUCGCCCGUCGCUACUACCGAUUGAAUGAUUUAGUGAGGUCUUCGGACCGAUGUCCGGCGCGGCCUUUCGGUUGCGCCGGUCUGUUGGAAAGAUGACCAAACUUGAUCAUUUAGAGGAAGUAAAAGUCGUAACAAGGUUUCCGUAGGUGAACCUGCGGAAG
rnacentral:rRNA from 1 species